GAUGAACGCUGGCGGCGUGCCUAAUACAUGCAAGUCGAGCGAACGGACGAGAAGCUUGCUUCUCUGAUGUUAGCGGCGGACGGGUGAGUAACACGUGGAUAACCUACCUAUAAGACUGGGAUAACUUCGGGAAACCGGAGCUAAUACCGGAUAAUAUUUUGAACCGCAUGGUUCAAAAGUGAAAGACGGUCUUGCUGUCACUUAUAGAUGGAUCCGCGCUGCAUUAGCUAGUUGGUAAGGUAACGGCUUACCAAGGCAACGAUGCAUAGCCGACCUGAGAGGGUGAUCGGCCACACUGGAACUGAGACACGGUCCAGACUCCUACGGGAGGCAGCAGUAGGGAAUCUUCCGCAAUGGGCGAAAGCCUGACGGAGCAACGCCGCGUGAGUGAUGAAGGUCUUCGGAUCGUAAAACUCUGUUAUUAGGGAAGAACAUAUGUGUAAGUAACUGUGCACAUCUUGACGGUACCUAAUCAGAAAGCCACGGCUAACUACGUGCCAGCAGCCGCGGUAAUACGUAGGUGGCAAGCGUUAUCCGGAAUUUAUGGGCGUAAAGCGCGCGUAGGCGGUUUUUUAAGUCUGAUGUGAAAGCCCACGGCUCAACCGUGGAGGGUCAUUGGAAACUGGAAAACUUGAGUGCAGAAGAGGAAAGUGGAAUUCCAUGUGUAGCGGUGAAAUGCGCAGAGAUAUGGAGGAACACCAGUGGCGAAGGCGACUUUCUGGUCUGUAACUGACGCUGAUGUGCGAAAGCGUGGGGAUCAAACAGGAUUAGAUACCCUGGUAGUCCACGCCGUAAACGAUGAGUGCUAAGUGUUAGGGGGUUUCCGCCCCUUAGUGCUGCAGCUAACGCAUUAAGCACUCCGCCUGGGGAGUACGACCGCAAGGUUGAAACUCAAAGGAAUUGACGGGGACCCGCACAAGCGGUGGAGCAUGUGGUUUAAUUCGAAGCAACGCGAAGAACCUUACCAAAUCUUGACAUCCUUUGACAACUCUAGAGAUAGAGCCUUCCCCUUCGGGGGACAAAGUGACAGGUGGUGCAUGGUUGUCGUCAGCUCGUGUCGUGAGAUGUUGGGUUAAGUCCCGCAACGAGCGCAACCCUUAAGCUUAGUUGCCAUCAUUAAGUUGGGCACUCUAAGUUGACUGCCGGUGACAAACCGGAGGAAGGUGGGGAUGACGUCAAAUCAUCAUGCCCCUUAUGAUUUGGGCUACACACGUGCUACAAUGGACAAUACAAAGGGCAGCGAAACCGCGAGGUCAAGCAAAUCCCAUAAAGUUGUUCUCAGUUCGGAUUGUAGUCUGCAACUCGACUACAUGAAGCUGGAAUCGCUAGUAAUCGUAGAUCAGCAUGCUACGGUGAAUACGUUCCCGGGUCU
rnacentral:rRNA from 1 species